UACGUAGGGUGCGAGCGUUAAUCGGAAUUACUGGGCGUAAAGCGUGCGCAGGCGGUUUUGUAAGACAGAGGUGAAAUCCCCGGGCUCAACCUGGGAACUGCCUUUGUGACUGCAAGGCUUGAGUGCGGCAGAGGGGGAUGGAAUUCUGCGUGUAGCAGUGAAAUGCGUAGAUAUGCGGAGGAACACCGGUGGCGAAGGCGGCCAUCUGGGAGGGUACUGACACUCAGACGCGAAAGCGUGGGGAGCAAACAGG
rnacentral:rRNA from 1 species